GGGGCAGCAUGGUCGUUGCUUGCAAUGACCGAUGGCGACCGGCGCACGGGUGAGUAACGCGUAUCCAACCUUCCCCCUACCCGGGUAUAGCCCGCCGAAAGGCGGAUUAAUCCCCGAUACGUCCCCUGACGGCAUCAGACGGGGACGAAAGGUAUUCCGGUAAGGGAUGGGGAUGCGUCCGAUUAGCUUGUUGGCGGGGUAACGGCCCACCAAGGCAACGAUCGGUAGGGGUUCUGAGAGGAAGGUCCCCCACAUUGGAACUGAGACACGGUCCAAACUCCUACGGGAGGCAGCAGUGAGGAAUAUUGGUCAAUGGGCGGAAGCCUGAACCAGCCAAGUAGCGUGCAGGAUGACGGCCCUACGGGUUGUAAACUGCUUUUUUGCGGGAAUAAAGCGGCCCACGCGUGGGCCUUUGCAUGUACCGCACGAAUAAGGACCGGCUAAUUCCGUGCCAGCAGCCGCGGUAAUACGGAAGGUCCUGGCGUUAUCCGGAUUUAUUGGGUUUAAAGGGAGCGUAGGCCGCCUUUUAAGCGUGCUGUGAAAUACCGUUGCCCAACAACGGGGCUGCAGCGCGAACUGGAGGGCUUGAGUUCACGGGAAGCCGGCGGAAUUCGUCGUGUAGCGGUGAAAUGCUUAGAUAUGACGAAGAACUCCGAUUGCGAAGGCAGCCGGCUGUAGUGUUACUGACGCUGAAGCUCGAAAGUGCGGGUAUCGAACAGGAUUAGAUACCCUGGUAGUCCGCACGGUAAACGAUGGACGCCCGCUGUGCGCCCUUUAGGGUGCGCGGCCUAGCGAAAGCGUUAAGCGUCCCACCUGGGGAGUACGCCGGCAACGGUGAAACUCAAAGGAAUUGACGGGGGCCCGCACAAGCGGAGGAACAUGUGGUUUAAUUCGAUGAUACGCGUGGAACCUUACCCGGGCUUGAACUGCAGAGGAAAGAUCCAGAGAUGGUGAUGCCCUUCGGGGCCUCUGCGGAGGUGCUGCAUGGUUGUCGUCAGCUCGUGCCGUGAGGUGUCGGCUUAAGUGCCAUAACGAGCGCAACCCCUUUCCCCAGUUGCCAUCGGGUAAUGCCGGGCACUC
rnacentral:rRNA from 1 species